AUUGAACGCUGGCGGCAUGCCUUACACAUGCAAGUCGAACGGCAGCACGGGAGCAAUCCUGGUGGCGAGUGGCGAACGGGUGAGUAAUAUAUCGGAACGUGCCCAGUCUGGGGGAUAACGUAGCGAAAGCUACGCUAAUACCGCAUACGAUCUAUGGAUGAAAGCGGGGGAUCGCAAGACCUCGCGCGAUUGGAGCGGCCGAUAUCAGAUUAGGUAGUUGGUGAGGUAAAGGCUCACCAAGCCGACGAUCUGUAGCUGGUCUGAGAGGACGACCAGCCACACUGGGACUGAGACACGGCCCAGACUCCUACGGGAGGCAGCAGUGGGGAAUUUUGGACAAGUGGGCGCAAGCCUGAUCCAGCAAUGCCGCGUGCAGGAUGAAGGCC
rnacentral:rRNA from 1 species